rnacentral:lncRNA from 1 species
CCCACUCGGCCUUGUCCUCGUCACCCACUCACCCCUCGCCCCCUCGCGCUCUCUCCCUCUCCCACACCCUCGCCCCCUCUCCAGAUUUCCCAUCGCCAGAACAUAGUCGUCGCCGUGCCAUCGUCGCCGUCGUGACCACCGGCAUCCUCGCGUUGCCUGCUGGCGUGCGGGAGGUCCGCCGUGGGCUACUUCCCGCUCCUCACCGCUGGAUCGAGUCUACGGAGCUAAAUCGGCGCCGCCUGUGCGUCUUCUUCCUCGGCAUCAUCGGACCUCGCCGAUUCGCCGCGGCCGAUUUGCUCCCCCCUGCGCUACUAAGCCCCCGAGGGACCUCCGUGCGUCCACACGGUGAGCUCCGCUUCCCCCUUCCUUUGGAAUGCUCGGCGUUGAUCCCUAGCUAGAUGUGCUCGUCGUCGCGCCAUGGCCGAGCUCUCCUUCCGCCACUGAACUCGCUGUGCUCACUGUCGUCCACCCCGUGCUAAGCCGUGGCCACCACCGUGCUCCUAGAGAUCCACCAGCAACACGUGCGCUCCUUGGUUCAUCUCGGACGAGUCUCUGGGCUCGAACCCGAGACCACCGCGCUCGAUUCCAUCACUGAGGCCGCUGUGCCGGCGGCGGGGCUCCUACUCGCGCUCACCAAAUCGUGGUUGCGUCCCUCCCCGUACGCAGUCGCGUCCAUCCGCGCUCCACACGCGCCCGAUGGCCUGCUUCCCGCGGCCUCCCUACUCGCCCGGCCCGCCUCAGCCCAGCCUGCGCGCCGAUCGCCGCCGCUGCGGCCUAGCGACACCGCCGCCCGUCUGCACAUGACCUCGCCCCGACCGCCCACGCACCCGUUUGAAUCCACUCACCGCUGGCCGCAGCCGCGUUGGCCCCCGCGCCCCUGUUGGCCUGCUCGUGGGUCGUGGCCGCGCCCACGCGACCCGGCCGACGCUCCCGCCUGCUGCUGCUGUUGCAGAUGGCCAUGGCCAUGUCCAUGGCCGUGAGCCUCGUGUGUGGUGUACGCUGUGUGUGUGCUUGCUCUGUGUGUGUAUUGUGCGUGUAGUGUGUGCGUGGCUCCGGCCUCGCCCGCCUUCGGCCAGCCUCGCCGCACCUGUGCCACGCCGUUGCGCUGCCCCUCCUUCCCCUUUGCCGCUGCUGCUCGCUGCCUACUGCCGCUGCUCUGCCUGUACUGCUGCAGCUACAGUAGCGCUAGCUAGCUUUUCUAAUUCUAAGAUGACUAACCCUCUAGACAGCGCUUAAACUCAGGCUAAACAACUACUAUCAGGACUAAAAAAAUUAUGGGGAGGUAGUACACUUCAUAAUGCUCAAAUGUUUCCAUUGGACCAAAUCCAUUUAGUGCAUAGAUCAAAUUCGAUGAAAAUCACAAAAUGCUAUCUUUUGUUAGCAGAAAAUAGAACUAUGUGUGGGUGAGUGUGUGUUCUGCAUAGUGUGCGUGCGUGCAGUUGGCCAUGGCCGUGUGCUCCUGUGUGUGUAUGUGUGCAUCAUGCAUGUGGCCGGUUGGGCUAUGCCCAUUAGUGGCCAGCCCUGGCAUAGAUUAGUACUACUAGGUUUAAUUAGUGUUAAGUUAGUCUAGUAGUAGAUGACAUGUAGGCCCUUUUAAAUAAGUUAGAUUUGUUUAAUUGUUUAGGUAAAUAGUCUAUGACAUGUGGGCCACACUUGGCCUUUGACUAGUCAAAAUUAACUUAGUCAAUUCGGUUUAAGCUAAAUAUAAUAAUCCCAAGAAUUCAAUGAAACUUUGAAAAAUCAUUAUAAAAUAAACUGAAGCUCGGAUGGAAAAACUUUGUAUAUGAAAGUUGCUCAGAAUGAUGAGACGAACCGGAUACGCAACCUUUCGCCACGCAUCCCUAGCAUAGCGAACACGCAACUUUUCCCCUCCAGUUCAUCUGUCCGAAAACGUGAAACACCGGGGAUACUUUUCCGGAUGUUUCCCCCCUUCGCCGGUAUCACCUCCUACCGUGUUAGGUCACACCCGGCACAUCUUAUUGCCAUGUUAUGCUUUGUGGUGCUAUGUUUGCUUUAUAUUUACUGUUUCUUCCCCCUCUUCUCUCCGGUAGACCCUGAGACCGAUGCUGCCCUUGUGAUCGACUACGUCGAUGACGACCCCUCCUUGCCAGAGCAACCAGGCAAGCAAACCACCCCUUGAGCAUUCCGAUAUCGCUUAUUUCUUUCCCUCUCAUGCUUGCAUUAGAACUGCUACUACUUUCUGUAUGAUCCUACUCUGAUGCAUAUCUAGUUGUUGUUACCUGCUUUGAUACCUUACCUGCUUAUCCUAAACUGCUUAGUAUAGGUUGGUUAGUGAUCCAUCAGUGACCCCCACCUUGUCCCAGUUGCCUCUCUUUUCGAUGACUCGAUCAACGUGAUUGACGUCCAGGCCCCGACACCGCACAUCACCCCCUAGUUGAACGACUCUGCAGAGUUACCAUUGAGUGCCGAGGGUGGAACCUCUUACAUCACUCCUGAAGAGACCUCUGUAGUGUAGCUAAUCGGUCGUGGUCAUCGAGGGUGAUUUCCUCCUUAACCACUUCCGAUACGGCUCUGUCGUGCAACCCCUCAAGUGUGAACCUCGAGGGUGGAUCCUCUUACGUUCACCUUGAUGAUUACAUCGAGUGGAAUUUACCGAGGGUGAUUCCUCGGGUUUUCCCCUUGAUGUUUGCACACACGGAUACUUGGACUUUACAGUUGUUACUUGGAUAGGCGGGUCGACCCCGAGGGGUACCCGCGAGUGAUGUGGAGUCGGGUGGACCUGGAAGGUGCCCGCGAGAUACUUACGAGGCGUGGCCGGGCAUUCUUAGCCCUUGCCGCAAGUACUCGAGACGGGGCGACGGGGUCACAUCGAUCGUGAAUUUCUGCUCGUUAUCGCGUGCUCCUAAUCCACUACGAUUUGGAUAUUUGAUCCGAGGGGCCUCUGACCUGAUAGCAGUAACCAUCACGUGGGCAUAGUAUGGGCGUUCUGUGUCGUAUACAUCAGCCGAAGCUUAAUAGACGUCAGCGACUAAGCGGCGCGUGCCGGGUUGGACUGCGUAAGCUCCUGCCUUGUUGAAGGAGGUAGCUAGGUCUGCUCACCGGCCGCCCACGCAACAUGCAGGAGUUCCCGGGGAGAUGGCCCAUGACCCCUGGGGGCAUAGGUUUAGUCCGGCGUGCUGGCCUCUCUAUUGAGCCUAUGUCGGGUUGCAGCGUAUUGUUUGGUCGAGGCCGGGCAUGACCCAGGAAAGUGUGUCCGGCCGGAGUUAAUCGAGCGUGGUGGGUAAGUUGGUGCACUCCUGCAGGGAAGAAAACAUCUAUCGAUAGCCUGUCCGACGGUAACGGACACUUGGAGUUGCAUCCCGGUCGAUACAACUAGAACUGGAUACUUGUGAUGAGAAAUGGAUUGUGAUGAGACUUGGAUAUGAGAUGAUAACUGGAUAGUGUGGCUCUGGGAUUGCUUUCUCACAGGGAGUCGAGAAAGGAUCUCUAGCCGAGGUUGAUAACACUUCUACUACUUUACUUUAUGGUACUCUACUCCCUCCUGUUGCUGCAAGAUGGUGGUUUCCAGAAGAUGCUAGUCUUUGAUAGGCUAGGCUUUCCUCUUCCCUUAUGGCAUUCUGCAGUUUAGUCCACAGAUACAACCCAUUCCUUUGAUACAGAUGCAUACUUAGUUUAGAUCUGAUGUAAGUCUUGCGAGUACUUUGGAUGAGUACUCACGGCUGCUUUGCUACCUCUUUUCCCCCAUACCCGAUUGUUGCGACCAGAUGACAGAUCCCAGGAGCCAGACGACACCACUGAAGACUAAGGCUACCCCGAGGGUGCCUACUACUACAUGACGACCGCUGAGGACUUGGAGUAGUUAGGAGGCUCCUAGGCAGGAGGCCUUGCCUUUUCGAUUGUUGUUGCUUUUGUGCUAGCCUUCUUAAGGCAAACUUGUUUAACUUAUGUCUGUACUCAGAUAUUGUUGCCUCUGCUUACUCUGGUGUUUUUGAGCUUAUGUAUUCGAGCCCUCGAGGCCCUUGGCUUGUAAUAUAAAGCUUGUUUUAUUUUUAAAUUGUGUUUAGAGUUGUGUUGUGAUAUCCUCCCGUGAGUCCUUGACCUUGAUUGUACACAUUUGCGUGUAUGAUUAGUGUAUGGUCAAAUCGAGGGCGUCACAAGUUGGUAUCAGAGCCGACUGCCUGUAGGUAGCCCCCUUUCCCACUCCUUGGCUGAAGUUGAGUCUAGUCACUACAAAAACUUUUACUAACAUGGUUGUGUGUCUUACGGGCCCACAUCGCCAUUUGGGUGGUGUUAGGAUCUUUUAUUUCUCGUUUAUACUCUGGGACUCUGAUCUCUCUUCUAUUCGGGUCAAAUGGUUUUACUAACUCAAACAUUAGGAUCUCGUGAACACAUCCGCCCGGAGAGCCCCUUAUUUCAGAUGAUCGCCUACUGCAUCAGAAGAUUCCGAAGAUACUCUACGAUAUUCUCUCGAGACUUUUUGCCUGAUGCCUUAGCGAUUCCAUACCACCGAAAUAUCCUUAUGGAUAACUACGCACACUUGCCAAUCUUACAUUCUAUCCCGUUGAUCUUGUUAUUACAAGAUGCCCUGAACUGCGCUCCUUUUUUUUCAAGAAUCCCUGAGCAUACUGCCUUGCAGUUCCUUGUCAUCUGAAUACCCCUACGGAUAAACUUGUGCACCUAUCGAGUAUCCUCUCAUCCUAAGUUGACUCAUGUACUUCACAAAAGUCUUCACUAUACCAUUUGUUCUUGUGAAAAUCCUCAACAACCUAUUGUUCUUAAAUUUCUUGCUUGCUUGCAUUGUGGUUAAUACCAUAGGUCUAGUAAUCUUAUUGUCAGCCAUUGUCAUUAUCAUUUUGAGUCCGUUGAUACAAUAUGUUGCGAAUGCUCGCAAUCCUCAAUCAGAUCCUAGAAUUCAUCCUUCCGACUCAGACGUCAUUUUAACAUGUGCUGAAUCUCGAUCAAUCAAAUCGCCAUCGAUUGUACCCCUAAGGCUAUUCUAUCUAUCCAUCCCUAAUCAGAGCAUUGCUUCUGAUCCCUUUUCUUGGAAGUCAUAAUUCCUUUGCAAUUGGGCUUUGAGUUAGUCAGUUGUUUCUAUAAUAUGAUCUUCUUGCAUUCUUUCUUCCUCUGGUUGAGUACUGAUGCUCACAUCAGAUCCCUUGUGGACCACCAGACCCCUUUUUUCGGAUUUUAUCCGACAACGUCCUUCAUAUUCAGUAACCUUGUAGCCUUUUCCUCGGAUACAUAAUGCUUUUGGUAAAUUGUAUCCUCCGCUUUCUCAAGCAUGCUCUACUGCCGAGCUUGUGUUAUUAUUCUUGAAAUUUAUGAUAUAUGUUCCUAAGAUGCCCCGAUGGGUUGAACCUAUGCCUUCCCUAAUCUGUGUGAACUCGAAAGUUAUGCGGAUUAUACUCUACUGACUUUUUGUUAGAUAAAAUUUCAAUACUACAGAUGCACCAAGAGCGAGAAGUAAAAUGAGGGUUAUGCAUUGUAGAAGUGGGAGUCGACCCUGAACCUUGUGUUCAUGCCCACGGACACGGUGUAGGACUUAUCAUGAAAGCUUCUUGCAAGGAUAUCUAAUCAUUUGAAUAAUUCUUUCGGUAUCGUGAAUUGGAUCCCUUGUAGUUAUGGUCCCGACCAUAUUUCCUCCUUGAUCCCAUUUACUGGGGGAAGUUACAAUUACUUAUCCUCUGCAAAUCAUUCCCCCGUCAAACCUCUACUCCGAAUUACCUUCUGGCAUUACACCUAGUACUUGAUACUGGGAAGCUUUAUACCCCAUCACAUCAUUCCUAGCCUAAUCGGCUAUAUUUUUAUCAUGACAACUUUUAACUGUGCUACCUGGUCCUUAGGCCUGGAGCAACAUCCGACGAUGAGCUAAGCUUAUGUCGAUCUUCCUCAUCUUAUCAUUUCACCUCGAACAACAAGCUUGACUUUGAGCUUGUGACGAAUCAAUGGUUCUCAUAGCCUUUCACUUCAUUCUCCCUUUUCUGCUCGAGGGCAUCUUCAUAGAGUCUAUCAACAAACUUUGUCUUGAUCACCAUCACACUUUGACUUCUUCAGAGAUGUCAAUUGAAUUCAUGGCUAGAAAUACCAUCCUUGCCCUUGAUGAUUUGUGAUAUCAUCGACAACAUCCUUGACUUCCUGCCAACACAGACUUGGUCAUGUUUUGGUUAUAUCUUACAUUCCUUAACAUUCUUGGAAUUGUUCCUUGGUACUUCUUGUGACCUUCAGAUUCAAUCUUUCUUGAAACACCAUGUUAAUGUUACCUCGAAGCAUGACUGUGGUAUGCCGAACAACAACAAGAACAUUGGAAGUGCAUUGCCAAAUGUUUUUGCUCUAUUAUCCAAACACGAUUGUAUGGAUAACAUCAUGAAUUCCCUUUCCCCUUUAUCCAAAUGGUGGUGUACUUGUUGAUCUAACAUGUAUAUCAUGCUCUACUUUUCCUUGGGAAAAGUUACACUCCUAAAUCUUGUGUAUAAACACAUUUUCCUUUCCAUUUGUUUGUUUAACCUUUCUUGUGAUCUAUAUAUGUUAUAGCAGAAAUAAUUCCCUGAUCUUGUCAAUACCUCGGUGUACAAGCUAUGUAGGUAAUAGCUUGUUACUAUUGUUGUUGACAUUCCGGUAACCACCGAUGGAUGAGAACUUUGCCUAUUGGUCCGCCUCGUCUUAACGAGCAGGAAAAUAGUUCUCUUCGUCCCUCACCCUUGGUACCAAACUUUGUUGCCAACAUAACUGACAGGUUAUCCUCUGACCUGCCUUGCUAUCAUGACCGUUCAAGAUGUUAGCGCCUUCCUGCUUUUAACCCACAUGGUGGGCCCAUAACCCACAGUUCCACAAGAUCGAAACCUGACUCUUAUGUACACCCUUCUUUAUAAGGUUAUUUAUCACGAUUGGCUUCAUAUGUAAAUCAUGAGCCACCUUCCGAGAGACGACCUAUUCUGUUAUCAGACGAAAUAUUUCCUUUCAUUGCUCUGAACCCCUUUGGCCUUCUGAUUUGGCAUCAGACGAUUGCCUGCCCGCUCGAAACUUUUUAUUGCACCUCCUUACCUUGAUCUCGACGUCCUUCUCAAAUUUCGACUCAAGGGGUGCCUCUAUACCACGUUCACUGAGAUAGCCCCCAGGUACCUAUCUUGUAUUGAGCUCCGUCCUUCCCGAGUCUUCCCCCCUUACUGCACCCCUUAAAUCUCGGGACGAGAUUUCUUGUAGUGGAGGAGAUUUGUAACACCCCGGUGUCAUGCUACAGUAACCCUCCAUGAUUAAAGCUAAUCAUUUUUCUAAACGGUGCUUGAUCAACUUCGAUUCAAAUAUCAGUUGAGAUUCCACUUUGAAAUCAAAUUCAAUUAGGAAGUGAAUUUUUGAAGUUGCACAAAAAGUUGCUACAAAAUAGUUCAUCAUUUGGCCAAAAUUCCAUAACAAAUGAUUAUUAAGGAAAACAACAUCACCUCCAAGCCAAGAUGAACUAUAGUAAUUAAAACAGUGCCAUUUCAGCAUUUUAAAAUGCUAUUUUAUUGGGGCAAAAUCCAAAUGGGUUCAGUUGUCCCACAAACUCUUUGUGGCAGUGCCAAAUGCUAAUAGGAAUUUAAGUGGCCUAGUCCCACAUUUUUUCAAAGUCUUUUGGUAGCCCAAACCUUUCCCUAGCCGUCUCUGUUUUAAAUAAAAAGAGAAAAGCAGAAAAUCAGAAAAACUAAAAAGAAAAGUGCCAUCCCUUGCCCCCUGGGCCUCGGCUCACCAGGCAGCCCAGCUCCCCCUCCCGUGCCGUCUUCACUGUGUAGGCGACCGAGCACCCGCGCCCGCGGUCGCUGUCCGACCGGCUCGCCGCUCCAUGCCGCGGCAACGCCGGCGAUAAGGAUGAGCCCUCCCCACUCGGCCUUGUCCUCGUCACCCACUCACCCCUCGCCCCCUCGCGCUCUCUCCCUCUCCCACACCCUCGCCCCCUCUCCAGAUUCCCCAUCGCCAGAACAUAGUCGUCGCCGUGCCAUCGUCGCCGUCGUGACCACCGGCAUCCUCGCGUUGCCUGCUGGCGUGCGGGAGGUCCGCCGUGGGCUACUUCCCGCUCCUCACCGCUGGAUCGAGUCUACGGAGCUAAAUCGGCGCCGCCUGUGCGUCUUCUUCCUCGGCAUCAUCAGACCUCGCCGAGUCGCCGCGGCCGAUUUGCUCCCCCCUGUGCUAC